AUACGGAGGGUCCAAGCGUUAUCCGGAAUCAUUGGGUUUAAAGGGUCCGCAGGCGGUCAAUUAAGUCAGAGGUGAAAGCCCAUCGCUCAACGAUGGAACUGCCUUUGAUACUGGUUGACUCGAGUUAUACGGAAGUAGAUAGAAUAAGUAGUGUAGCGGUGAAAUGCAUAGAUAUUACUUAGAAUACCGAUUGCGAAGGCAGUCUACUACGUAUAUACUGACGCUGAGGGACGAAAGCGUGGGGAGCGAACAGGAUUAGAAACCCUUGUAGUCC
rnacentral:rRNA from 1 species